GCAUUUGCUAACGAGUUGUCUUGUCUAACGAGUGGCCUCUGAGAUUUGCGCGCGAAGCUGGCGCGCGCGAACCUGAGAGGCCAUAAUUGGCCGCUUAAUAGCAUAAAAAGACAAAGAUAAUGCCAAACGACACAGCUAAAAAUUCAAACAAAGAACUGAUCUUAGCUAUACUGAUUGGGGAAAAGAAAUAAAAAAAAUUAGACAACCGCAACACACGCCACUAAAGCCACCACCGCCGGCAUAACGCGGAAGCAACAGUUGGCAACAUUCACUCGCGCCUCAUUGCUUCGUCCGCUUCGUCUCCGCAACGACAGCCGCCAUCUUCUCGCGCCUAACGUUUUGUAUGGUUUUGUUCUCUGCAAUCCGCGCACACAGCUCAUCGGUGGCUGCACGUCUGCUCGGCGUCGCAAUGCGGCCUGCGUCAUUUUCUGGUGCUCGCGCAAUCGGUGUGAAACAUGUCGCAUGUGAAAUGUUUGAUAGAAGUGCCUCACGUCCAAGUCAAGCCGCCGUACGGGUGUAUGGCUGUGCGCCCCGUUCUCGGAAGCGUCGACGGGUUUCCGGCAUGCGGAUUUCAGCGUUUGGACUCGACUUUUGGUGAGGAUGUCGAUCGACCUUGGGCCUGGUGACAGCACACCCGACAUCGCCAAAGUGCAGCCUAUCAGUUGAGUGCCCCCGAAUGGACCAUCAACAUCGGAAAAUGAAGCAGAGCCAGGGGGAAAAGGUUCCGGUAACACCAUGCAUUCAGUAUGGUGGCCCAGAUGUGUAUGCAAGCAACCUCCUUCAUCUGGACCAAGAACUACUCUGCAGUGUCUCGCAGACUUCCAUGCGAAGCCCUCAACAUUCUCGUCUCAGUGGAAUGGCUGCUCAUCUAUCUGCGUGUCCAUCACCAAGCCGGCCAGUUG